AAUAGAUGCAAGUCGAACGAACUCUGGUAUUGAUUGGUGCUUGCAUCAUGAUUUACAUUUGAGUGAGUGGCGAACUGGUGAGUAACACGUGGGAAACCUGCCCAGAAGCGGGGGAUAACACCUGGAAACAGAUGCUAAUACCGCAUAACAACUUGGACCGCAUGGUCCGAGUUUGAAAGAUGGCUUCGGCUAUCACUUUUGGAUGGUCCCGCGGCGUAUUAGCUAGAUGGUGGGGUAAUGGCUCACCAUGGCAAUGAUACGUAGCCGACCUGAGAGGGUAAUCGGCCACAUUGGGACUGAGACACGGCCCAAACUCCUACGGGAGGCAGCAGUAGGGAAUCUUCCACAAUGGACGAAAGUCUGAUGGAGCAACGCCGCGUGAGUGAAGAAGGGUUUCGGCUCGUAAAACUCUGUUGUUAAAGAAGAACAUAUCUGAGAGUAACUGUUCAGGUAUUGACGGUAUUUAACCAGAAAGCCACGGCUAACUACGUGCCAGCAGCCGCGGUAAUACGUAGGUGGCAAGCGUUGUCCGGAUUUAUUGGGCGUAAAGCGAGCGCAGGCGGUUUUUUAAGUCUGAUGUGAAAGCCUUCGGCUCAACCGAAGAAGUGCAUCGGAAACUGGGAAACUUGAGUGCAGAAGAGGACAGUGGAACUCCAUGUGUAGCGGUGAAAUGCGUAGAUAUAUGGAAGAACACCAGUGGCGAAGGCGGCUGUCUGGUCUGUAACUGACGCUGAGGCUCGAAAGUAUGGGUAGCAAACAGGAUUAGAUACCCUGGUAGUCCAUACCGUAAACGAUGAAUGCUAAGUGUUGGAGGGUUUCCGCCCUUCAGUGCUGCAGCUAACGCAUUAAGCAUUCCGCCUGGGGAGUACGGCCGCAAGGCUGAAACUCAAAGGAAUUGACGGGGGCCCGCACAAGCGGUGGAGCAUGUGGUUUAAUUCGAAGCUACGCGAAGAACCUUACCAGGUCUUGACAUACUAUGCAAAUCUAAGAGAUUAGACGUUCCCUUCGGGGACAUGGAUACAGGUGGUGCAUGGUUGUCGUCAGCUCGUGUCGUGAGAUGUUGGGUUAAGUCCCGCAACGAGCGCAACCCUUAUUAUCAGUUGCCAGCAUUAAGUUGGGCACUCUGGUGAGACUGCCGGUGACAAACCGGAGGAAGGUGGGGAUGACGUCAAAUCAUCAUGCCCCUUAUGACCUGGGCUACACACGUGCUACAAUGGAUGGUACAACGAGUUGCGAACUCGCGAGAGUAAGCUAAUCUCUUAAAGCCAUUCUCAGUUCGGAUUGUAGGCUGCAACUCGCCUACAUGAAGUCGGAAUCGCUAGUAAUCGCGGAUCAGCAUGCCGCGGUGAAUACGUUCCCGGGCCUUGUACACACCGCCCGUCACACCAUGAGAGUUUGUAACACCCAAAGUCGGUGGGGUAACCUUUUAGGAACCAGCCGCC
rnacentral:rRNA from 1 species